rnacentral:lncRNA from 1 species
UUCUAUCUCACUGGAUUCGUUCUUAAAAAUGUUUUUCAUCAUCCUCAGUCCUUAAUGGUGAUACUUGAUGAAUAUCUUUGGCCUGUAGUGCAAAGAUGAAUGAUUAAACUAAUGAAUCUCUUUGGCCCGUAGUGCAAAGAUGAACAGGUGUUGAGAUGAACAUGACCAACUGGUGAUACAAAUGAAUAUCUUUGGCCUGUAGUGCAAAGAUGAUUAAAGAUGUAUAUUGAUUGUUGUUACAGGGAU